rnacentral:rRNA from 1 species
CUGCAUAUCGGCAUUGGAGCUUCUCGCCAUAUUCGUUCGACCUUGCAAGCGAUCGCGAAUUCCACUAGUGAUCUUAGCUAGGCAUCUGGCUACUCGUUGCCAGCAGUCGCGGUAAUACGAAGGCUGCAAGCGUUACUCGGAAUUCACUGGGCGUAAAGCGCGCGCAGGCGGUCCAUGUAAGUUGGGAUGUGAAAGCCUACAGCUCAACUGUAGAGCUGCAUCCAUAAACUAUUUGGCUAGAGUGUGGGAGAGGAAGAUGGAAUUUAGCUGUGUACGGGGUAAAAUCCGUAGAGAUAACUAGGAAUACCAAAAGCGAAGGCAAUCUUCUGGAACAUUACUGACGCUGAGGCGCGAAAGCGUGGGGAGCAAACAGGAUUAGAUACCCUGGUAGUCCACGCCCUAAACGAUGAAUGUUAGUCGUCGGGUAGCUAGUCUAUUCGGUGAUGCAGCUAACGCAUUAAACAUUCCGCCUGGGGAGUACGGUCGCAAGAUUAAAACUCAAAGGAAUAGACGGGGACCCGCACAAGUGGUGGAGCAUGUGGUUUAAUUCGAAGAUACGCGAAGAACCUUACCUAGCCUUGACAUAUAUUAGAACACUUUAGAGAUAGAGUGGUGCCUUCGGGAGCUUUUAUACAGGUGCUGCACGGCUGUCGUCAGCUCGUGUCGUGAGAUGUUGGGUUAAGUCCCGCAACGAGCGCAACCCUCGUCACUAGUUACUAACGGUUCGGCCGAGGACUCUAGUGAGACUGCCUUCGUAAGGAGGAGGAAGGUGAGGACGACGUCAAGUCAUCAUGGCCCUUACGGCUAGGGCAACACACGUGCUACAAUGGCCAGGACAAUGAGAAGCGAUACCGCGAGGUGGAGCAAAUCUAUAAACCUGGUCUCAGUUCGGAUUGUAGUCUGCAACUCGACUACAUGAAGCUGGAAUCACUAGUAAUCGUAGAUCAGCUAUGCUACGGUGAAUACGUUCCCGGGUCUUGUACUCACCGCCCGUCACACCAUGGGAGUUGAUUUCACCCGAAGCGGGGAAGCUAAACUGGCUACCCUCCACGGUGGAAUUAGCGACUGGGGGGAAGUCGUAACAAGGUAACC